rnacentral:rRNA from 1 species
UACAGAGGGUGCGAGCGUUAAUCGGAAUUACUGGGCGUAAAGCGUGCGUAGACGGUUAUUUAAGUCGGGUGUGAAAGCCCCGGGCUCAACCUGGGAAUUGCAUUCGAGACUGAAUAGCUAGGGUACGGUAGAGGGAAGCGGAAUUUCCGGUGUAGCGGUGAAAUGCGUAGAUAUCUGGAGGAACACCGGUGGCGAAGGCGGCAUCCUGGACCGAUACUGACGCUGAGGAGCGAAAGCCAGGGGAGCAAACGGG